UACGUAGGGGGCAAGCGUUGUCCGGAAUCAUUGGGCGUAAAGAGCGUGUAGGCGGCUUGGUAAGUCCGCUGUGAAAGUCCAGGGCUCAACCCUGGAAUGCCGGUGGAAACUGUCAAGCUUGAGUCCGGAAGAGGCGACUGGAAUUCCUGGUGUAGCGGUGAAAUGCGCAGAUAUCAGGAGGAACACCGGUGGCGAAGGCGGGUCUCUGGGCCGAUACUGACGCUGAGGAGCGAAAGCGUGGGGAGCGAACAGG
rnacentral:rRNA from 1 species